rnacentral:rRNA from 1 species
CUACGGGAGGCAGCAGUGGGGAAUAUUGGACAAUGGGCGCAAGCCUGAUCCAGCCAUGCCGCGUGAGUGACGAAGGCCUUAGGGUUGUAAAGCUCUUUCGGCGGGGAAGAUAAUGACGGUACCCGCAGAAGAAGCCCCGGCUAACUUCGUGCCAGCAGCCGCGGUAAUACGAAGGGGGCUAGCGUUGUUCGGAAUCACUGGGCGUAAAGCGCACGUAGGCGGAUCUUUAAAUCAGGGGUGAAAUCCCGGGGCUCAACCUCGGAACUGCCCUUGAUACUACUGGUCUCGAGUCCGGAAGAGGUGAGUGGAAUUCCUAGUGUAGAGGUGAAAUUCGUAGAUAUUAGGAAGAACACCAGUGGCGAAGGCGGCUCACUGGUCCGGUACUGACGCUGAGGUGCGAAAGCGUGGGGAGCAAACAGGAUUAGAAACCCUGGUAGUCC